UACGGAGGAUCCGAGCGUUAUCCGGAUUUAUUGGGUUUAAAGGGUGCGCAGGCGGGAGAUUAAGUCGGCGGUGAAAUUUUGCAGCUCAACUGUAAAAGUGCCUUCGAUACUGGUUUCCUUGAGUGUGGAUGAAGUAGACGGAAUUUGUGGUGUAGCGGUGAAAUGCUUAGAUAUCACGAGGAACUCCGAUUGCGCAGGCAGCUUACUAAACCACUACUGACGCUCAGGCACGAAGGCGUGGGGAUCAAACAGGAUUAGAUACCCUGGUA
rnacentral:rRNA from 1 species